CAUUUCCCAACACUAAGGAGGUUACAAAAGCUAACAGAAAAUAGAAAGAAUAAGGCAUCUGAAGCUUAAAUGACUAGUGGGAAUUCCAGAAUAACUAUGCGUUAUUAAUUUUGAUCAUUCUGCAACAUCUGGCUAAAGUGUUUACAAGAAAAUAUGUUUCCUGAAACAACUUUGACUAUGGACCGUUUUGGCGCACUUCAGUUACCCUUUUAUGUGUGGCUAAUCAUUGUUGUAGUGUGUUUUAUCUUUCUUCUAAGUUGUCUAAGGUCCCUGGUUCAGUGUUACAAGUCAACUAAUUACACAGGUACUAACGUGACAGCAGACUCUACCACCAUUUCUGCUAUCAACUCUCAGUUUAAUACGGGAUACCAAUCAAACCAAGAUAACAGACCUCAUUUUCAAAGUCAGCAUUUUCCAAGUACUACAGUCCCGCUGUCGGAACCCUUUCGAUUCGCUACAGCUCCUAACCAGGCGUAUUUGCAGAACACAAACUUUACUGUAGCUCAAACAACGCUCAUACAAGAUUUACCUCCAAGCUAUGAAGACGUCAUUAGACAGAAAUGAUGGUAACCUGGAAUUAAUUAUCAUGUGUAUGAAGUAUUUUCUUACAUCUAUUUUCCUCUAACUGCCAGACAGCUGAUAGUUGUGAUGCAAUCUUUUUAUUCUUCAUCCAACCUAGCCUAGGCCAUUCAGAAAAUUAAUCUUGGACUGAUUUGCACUAAAAUUCAGAUGUUUGAAAGGCUUAAUCCAGAAACAGCAAAACAAGUAAAGUUUUCAAAACAAAACCACAAUAAUGGAGAGUCCAUCAGAGACACUGGGCUGGUACGGUGUCUAGAGAACUUCAGGACUCAACUGUUGUUGUUCUUAUUAUCUGAUACAAUUUAGCUGCAUUUAGAAUCAGUUUCAGCAGUAUUUAGUGUAAAAGAGCAUAUGGUAUUAGUGGGUUCCUCUGUGAGCGUGUCCAAGUCGUCGAGUGGAGAGAAGAGUUAAAAGAAGGAAGCAUCGACCUUCUAUGCUGUGCAGAGACACAGACUCCUGGGAGGUACCAUCUACUGAAAGGGUUAUUGAUCCUAAACUUAAGUCAUCAUUAUGCCAUGAAAAAGAGUUUACCCAUCUUGUUCGUUGCAUAGGAUGGCAAAAAAGUAUUGUGGACUAUUUAAAGCUUUAUGAUAAAUCUUUAUGAAAUAUUGGCAUUUUACUGAAACUCAUUAACAUGCUUCCAUACAUAAAUAUGUUGUAACUGUAAAUGUAUGCAAAUUUCCAUUCCGUAGUGUAGUGACAUUAUGCAAUCACAUAUUACGUCCAAAAUGGUUAUGCGGGAAAUAGGCAGGGCAACAAAUUUAGGACAAUAAUUUCCCAACACUAAGGAGGUUAUAAAAGCUAACAGAAGAUAGAAAGAACCAGGCAUUUGGAAUUUAGAAGCCUACUGGGAAUUCCAGAGUAACUCUGCGUUAUUUAUUUUGAUCAUUCUGCAACAUCUGGCUGAAGUGUUCACAAGAAAAUAUUUUUUCCUAGGCAACUUUGACAAUGGACGGUUUUGGCGCAUUUCAGUUACCCUUUUAUGUGUGGCUAAUCAUUGCUGUAGUGUGUCUUAUCUUUCUUAUAAGUUGUCUAAGGUCCCUGUUUAAGUGUUGCAAAUCAACUAAUUACACAGAUACUAACGAGACAGCAGAAUCUACCACCAUUUAUGCAAUCAAUUCUCAGCUUAAUACGGGAUACCAAUCAAACCAAGAUAACAGACCUCAUUUCGAAAAUCAGCAUUUUCCAAGUGCUACAGUCCUGCUGUCGGAACCCUUUCGGUUUACUACAGCUCCUAACCAGGCGUAUUUGCAGAACACAAACUUUACUAUAGCUCAAACAACGCUCAUACAAGAUUUACCUCCAAGCUAUGAAGACGUCAUUAGACAGAAAUGAUGUUA